GAAACUGGCUCCACCACCCUGGUGAUAGGAACAGAAGGUCCUAUGGAGUCUUCCCAUAGCAAGAAACCAGGCUUGUAACAGGGUGUAAUAGAGUGACACCCCACACCUGAUGCCCUGUAAAUGCAGAGUCUGCAAAUGCCUCUCUUUUGAUGCUUUCUCAAGGUAAGUCAUAAAUGAAGUCUUACUGCUUUAAAAAAGUAGCUUGCCAACAGUUGCCCAGGCUCCCCAUGGGACUGCGCUUCACUGAGCACCUGAAGAAAGUAUUCACUGGAAAUGGGCUCUCCUGGGAGACUGUCUGGAUCCCGAGUGUCUGGCGUUCAUGUUCCCACACCUGGCUGCUGCUUCUUGCCCUUCCUUGGCUGCAGGUGUGAGUGCUUGUUUGUUUAAACCUCGCUCAGCACUGCUUGGAAAAACAAAACAACAUGGUUACUUGUCUGGGCAUUGAAUGUUCUUCCUGAAUUUUGGUCCUGCCCAUUGGCCCAGAGGCGGAAUGGGUGGGGCAAGUUUCGGUGUGAGUUUGGGAAGUUUCGAGAAGACGCUAUGGGCUGGGUCUGUUAGGUUGGGGUUGCUCUUGGUUUUAAUCCUUUUGGAAUGUCUUGAGGGUCAGGAGCGUUGCCAUUGAUGGCUAUGGGAGUUGUCAGGCUGUGGCUCUCUUUCUCACAGAGAAUGCCAGAGGCACUCGGGAAGGCAUUUGCCAGGGCUCUGACAGAUGUAAAGUAAGCCUUAUCCAUGUUGUGUUCUCACCUGGACACCUGGAAGGUGCUCAGUAUAGAAAAGUCACGAGCUAGAUGAGAUACCAGCUUGAUGUCGACUCCCUCCCCAACAAUGGCUGCCUGUCUUCGUCUUGAUGCCUGCCAGCAGGAAAGCACUGUCUUAGAACCUGGCUCACCUGAUUUUGCCGAUGAGUCAACUUUGAAGUGUGCCUCAUUCUGGAAAGUGAAUCACGUAAUCACACCUCCUUACUUUUAAAAACCACUCCAUCUCAUUUUUCAACAACCUCUGAUUAUCUCAAAGUUACCUCGGAUUAUCCUGACACGUCCUUCGGCUUCUGAGGAUAUUGACUCAGUAUUUCAAGACUGAGGUGACUCUGAGACAGAAGACGGAGCCAGUGGUGAUGUGCUCCCUUAUUCAGACUCUUUGAAUAAUGCUUUUUACUCAGCUAUGGACUCUGCUAGAAAGACACUUUAAUAUUUUUGCCAUUUAUAUUUUUCUGUUGUUGAAAAAUAAUAGAAACCAGUGCCUUAGUUGGUUUAACAAUUCAACAAAGUUGUUUUCAAAAGAAGAAAGAAAAUGUAACUCCAUUUAGGUUGUCUUUCAUUUGCAAACACUAACUGAAACUUGAGUUAGGGAUUGUAUAACUUGGAAACAGUAUUAAUAAAAUGAAGUCAUUGUCAUAUUAAAAAUGUCCUAAUGUUCACUUUAAGUGUAUUUUUAAAAACCUCACAGGCAAUGGUGUGAAAGAAACCAAGGAGAUGUUUACAUUCAUUAGUUCCACUGGAAAAAACUGGUUAAUGUAAUUGUAUAGAUUUUUCCCUUCUUGUUUUGUGUGCUGUAUAACCCAGUCUUUGCUUUAUGUACAAAUACCCUGGUUUCUAAAUGCUACUUAUUUUCUUCAGAAAUAAAGUAUGCUUUCAAUUUAG
rnacentral:lncRNA from 1 species